UACGUAGGGACCAAGCGUUGUUCGGAUUUACUGGGCGUAAAGGGCGCGUAGGCGGCGUGGUAAGUCACUUGUGAAAUCUCUGAGCUUAACUCAGAACGGCCAAGUGAUACUGCUGUGCUAGAGUGUGGAAGGGGCAAUCGGAAUUCUUGGUGUAGCGGUGAAAUGCGCAGAUAUCAGGAAGAACACCCGUGGCGAAGGCGGCUCUCUGGGGACGGUACUGACGCUGAGACGCGAA
rnacentral:rRNA from 1 species